rnacentral:rRNA from 1 species
AGUGAACGCUGCGGUAGGCCUAACACAUGCAAGUCGCACGGCAGCACAGUAAGAGCUUGCUCUUACGGGUGGCGAGUGGCGGACGGGUGAGGAAUACAUCGGAAUCUACUUUUUCGUGGGGGAUAACGUAGGGAAACUUACGCUAAUACCGCAUACGACCUACGGGUGAAAGCAGGGGAUCUUCGGACCUUGCGCGAUUGAAUGAGCCGAUGUCGGAUUAGCUAGUUGGCGGGGUAAAGGCCCACCAAGGCGACGAUCCGUAGCUGGUCUGAGAGGAUGAUCAGCCACACUGGAACUGAGACACGGUCCAGACUCCUACGGGAGGCAGCAGUGGGGAAUAUUGGACAAUGGGCGCAAGCCUGAUCCAGCCAUACCGCGUGGGUGAAGAAGGCCUUCGGGUUGUAAAGCCCUUUUGUUGGGAAAGAAAAGCAGCAGGUUAAUACCCCGCUGUUCCGACGGUACCCAAAGAAUAAGCACCGGCUAACUUCGUG